GAUGAAGAACGCAGCAAACGCGAAAGGUAAUGCGAAUUGCAGAAUCAGUGAGUCAUCGAAUCUUUGAACGCACAUUGCGCCCCUUGGUAUUCCGGGGGGCACGCCUGUUCGAGCGCCAUUACACACCCCAAGCUAAGCUUGAUGUUGGGCGAUGUCUGUCACAGGACACGCCUGGAACGUAUGGGCGCCGCCGCCGGAUCACGAGUGUAGCAAGACGCAAGUCAUCGCUCGGUCGGUCCUGGCGGUUGGCCGCCGCGGCUCAUGGUAACACAUGGGCCAGUAACUUUUCACAAGUUUGGCCUCGAAUCAGGCGGGGAUACCCGCUGAACUUAAGCAUAUCAAUAAGCGGAGGA
rnacentral:misc_RNA from 1 species